rnacentral:tRNA from 1 species
AUUUAUAUAGUUUAAUUAAAACAAUACAUUUUCAUUGUAUAAACAAUACAUCAUUGUAUUUAUAAAUA